GACGAACGCUGGCGGCGUGCUUAACACAUGCAAGUCGAACGGAAAGGCCCUGCUUUUGUGGGGUGCUCGAGUGGCGAACGGGUGAGUAACACGUGAGUAACCUGCCCUUGACUUUGGGAUAACUUCAGGAAACUGGGGCUAAUACCGGAUAGGAGCGCCUCCUGCAUGGUGGGGGUUGGAAAGUUUCGGCGGUUGUGGAUGGACUCGCGGCUUAUCAGCUUGUUGGUGGGGUAGUGGCUUACCAAGGCUUUGACGGGUAGCCGGCCUGAGAGGGUGACCGGCCACAUUGGGACUGAGCUACGGCCCAGAGUCCUGCGGGAGGCAGCAGUGGGGAAUAUUGCACGAUGCGCGGAAGCCUGAUGCAGCAACGCCGCGUGCGGGAUGACGGCCUUCGGGUUGUAAGCCGCUUUCGCCUGUGACGAAGCGUGAGUGACGGUAAUGGGUAAAGAAGCACCGGCUAACUACGUG
rnacentral:rRNA from 1 species